GCAAUACAUGGAUCAUUGUUGCCAGUUUCAUAGGCGGAGCUGCCUUUGGCGUGGCUGUGGCUGGUGGUGCUUAUUAUGUUUAUAAGAAGUCAAAGAAAGGAAGACCAUUAAAAGGACAUGAGAAUGGUGGGUCAUCAAAUAGGAUGGAAGAAGACGAAGCACAGGCCACAGAAAUGUGACCCCUCACACCUGUAACCGUACGGAUGCGACAUACAUAUAGAUAAUGUAUGCACACACACAUCACAUUAAUCGCCUGUGUAUUUCUCACGUGUGUGUGCUUUUGACUUUACCAGACUACAACUUACUACACUGGAGCCUCAUGUGUCACAGAUUUUAUUUAGAUUCUCAGUGUAUUUGUUUUAUCAUUUUUAAGAGUGACUCAGUUGCCCUGAAUAAGAGGGUCUGCCACACAAAUGUUAUACAACAUAAUGAAUCUUGCACUCAAGUAAAUUAACUUGUCAGGCUGAGUUUUCAGAGUUUUAAGUUAUAAGAUCAGGUAUUUAAUCUGUGCAUUAGAGCCUUUGACCAGCUCAGUCAUUUGACUUCAGUAU